GAGAAAAUCCCACAAUUUCAUUAAUAUGAAAAGCAAUACCCUCCAAAUUAUUUUAAUGUUCCCUUUUUCCAUUAUUACCAUCUAUGCUAGAAGAGUAUUUUAUCUUGGUAUCUGGCAAACAUACACAGAAGGCACAGAACAGUAUCUGUUGCAGAAGCUAGUUUUUAACUUCCUCUGGCUCUUACUCAUAAAACUCACCCUCUCCCUGUAAGCAAGUGGAAGGAGAUAGACUGGCACUUCUUCAGCAAGGUUUAAAUUUCCCUCUUUAUAAUGGUACAUUUUAAGCUUUAAUUAGCACAUUUGAUCCUGUUUUAAACAAAAACCAGAAUGUUUGAAAAUUUUUAUAUUAGCAAAAGGAAGAGAGGACUGGGAAACACAUUGAUCUACUUCAUUGCUUUAUCUGAGAUCUAUCCUUCUGCCUAAAUUAACUAGUUGUAAAUUAUUUUGUAAUUCAAUGAAAAAACUGGCUAAGCGUGUCAUUAACUGAAUGCCAUGCUUGAGCAAGUAACUUCAUGAGAAGCUAGACACUGACAUGCAUAGGUCUUCUAUCUAGACAGAUUCAUGUCUCCAGAACCUGUCUCUGAGGUGUGAUUCCCUAGGGCUCACUAUAGGUAUGAAACUGAAGAGAUCUAAAGCACCAAAGCAAGUCCAAAGUAUAAUGCUAUUUGCAAAAAAAUUAAAUGAAAAUUACAUUAAAUAAAAGUGGUGUUGGGCUGCUCUCCAUUAUCACUGAACAGGUUCAGACAAAUCUAUUUAAGUUUAGACUGUCAACUACUGUUGUAGAAGGGACACAUUAUCUCCAAGAGGAGUUAGCUAAAGCUUGGGGAAUCAUCCUCUGUGUAAAUGGAACAUGGAGCUUUUAUAAUAGAAAAUAAUUUUGGGGGAAUUCUUAUCUAUAAGAGAAAAUGGCUUUUUCCUGCAGGGAAAGGAAAAGGACAUUACUAACUAACAAUCUGCCUCCUUUCUUUUAGGAAUGGAUUUGACUUGUUACAAAUAUAGAGAGAAAAAUUCUGGCCUUCAACCCCAGGCAUUAGCAAUGUGAGAAAAACUGAAAAAGGAGUUGUGACAAUGCCAGGAAAUCACAGAUCCAGCAACAGAGAACUCAUUGCCCUCCCUGGAUGUGAAGAAAAGGAGACAGCUGAGUCAGAAUGGACUGAGAGCUCCCACUUCAUCUUGGUGGAGGUAUUUCACUUGCCUUUACACUACUGUUGCCUUGAAAAUGCCAUUUCUGCAUUAAUGUAAUGACUGGCUGCAGGCCUGUAGCUGAUCUCUCUGCACAUGAGCUCUGUCUCUGGACCAGAUGUACAGAAGCAUCGUGGUACAUUGCUUCUUCUGCACAAGUAGCAGACCAGUAUCAUCAACACGUGACUGUGCUGAACCAGCAGGUACUAUAAAGCAGCAACUUUAGCAUGGAUCACAGCAGUUCGGAUGUGGCAGAAUAACUAGGUAUUAUUGCAGGACUUUGUUGUUGCAGUAGAUUUGAAGAGCAUGCUACUGCCUGGCUGGGACGGACUGGUGGCACUGCUGAGACUCGCACAAGUGGAGUUUGGUUACUUGCAGAUUUCGAGGGGAUGGGGGUUCAGCUGACAUCAAAGCCAGCGUUUAAUUCUCUUUUGCAUCUGGUGCUUAAAGCACAAUGUUCAGCUGCUUCUCUCAUAGGACUGCUCCUGGUUGAGAUGAUGCAGGACAUGAAGUAUUUCAUGCUCAGGAUGCUGGUGGAGAGGUCCCUCUGUGUAAAUCCUUUACCAGUUGUCUAUUUUUUUAAAUGAAUUCCUGGCUGGUCUAUGGGGAACUCAAGACUGUGCUGUUUGUUAGCACAAAUGAGCCCAACACAAAUAAUUGGUUUUUUCACCAGAGGGUUGUGCAACUCCUGCCAUACUUGGCUUUCAACCUGGGCCUGGUGGUCACGUUGGGACCCACAAUUUCCUCCCAUGGUUUUGUCUGUGCUGUCACUGUGGAGCAGAAAACACUUUUGUUCCCAGCAUAUUUGGGGAUAUAGGAGUGCAUAGUAGGCAUAUGUAUGGGGAACAACAUGAUCUUUAAUAAAAAUCAGUCUCCUAAAUGACAUAAAUUAAGUGUAAAUGCAUAAUGGGAAAGUCCACACGGAGCUGGCUUAGUUGAAGAGUGAACUUUUGAAAUACAGUUCUUUUUCCUGGUACGUGGCAUCUUGUCUUUGCUCCGAGACAUGUGUAGCAGAUAUUUUUCAGCUUUUCUUUCUCCCUUUCAUUGCUGGGUACUGCUUUCAGUCUUAAUUCAUGCAACACAGACAUCAAACAUGAUUUUCAAACAAAGACCAGGUCUCCUCAGGACCUCCGCCCAUCCCUCACUCAAGCUUUGCUGUGCCAUACAGCAGCUCUCACAGCCCGUCGCCACUUGGGAUUCUUCAGCUCUGGCCUCGUGGUGUAUCACGCCACAGUUGUACCCCAAGAGUAGAAACCAUUGCUGGUCUAACACGUGGCAGCAUCUUGCCUCUGUGGUGCUUUGAGCUUAAGAGAUCUACUAACAGAGAGAGGAUCUCGGAGCUUUAUGUCCUUUGUCGCGGCUGCUUCUCCCCAGU